UCCUGAAACAACCCAAACCACAGUGUCAACACUAUUUCCACACAGGGCUUUCCCCAUUCUACCUGGGUUGUGGUCUUACUCUGUAAGGAGACAAAUGGCCACUCCUGACAUUUGGUCCCAUUUCCAAAGUAAAGUUUCCCAUUUGGUGUCCUGGAUGACAAAGGGCAUAGGGCUGUGUUCCCACACCAUCAGAAACUGGAUCACAGGUUCCAAUCCUCCCCCACCCCCCACUCCUGAAACUCUCCAUUCUUCAAGGCUGCUGAUUUGGGCUCAAGUGUCAGAAGGAAAACCCUAAGAUUGAACUGAUCUGAAAGAAUGAGAGUAAGUAAGCACACACAGGGGGUCGCCCUUGCCAAGUGCCUAUGUACUUACUCCCCCUCGGGAGACCCCAGCUCUCAGUGCCUUAGCCCUGGACCUAAAAAGCCUACCGAGCAUUUUCUGCAGGUGACAGUAAAGACUGGCUGAAUGAGGAAAGCAAUUCCAGAUGCUGGCAACUGUGCAGUUUUCCACAGUAGAAUCUACCUCGAGCCCCAAGUUGACAACCACUGCUGAGGAUUCCAGGAAGAGAUGGGAGCAGGCCGAAUAAUUGCUGCUCAAGUCCACAGUGGAGCCCCAGCCCUGCCACGAGCCAGCUCCAGAACGUUGGGCAAUCCUGCCCUCGUCUGGACCUGUAAGAGAGAGCUACUAUACUGCUCGCCUGCCAGGGCUGCUGGUCAUCAUUAGGCUCUCCAAGCACAGUGGGUAACUUCCAUUGCCUCAUUUCACUUUCAGUCUGCUCUCACAAGGACAUACUGGAACACUGCAUUUCAGACAAGGAAACUGAGACCCGGCUGAAGGAAGGUCUUGAGUACUCAACUGGUACAGGAUCACACAGUUGGCUGGUGGUCAAAUUGAAAUUUCAGGUAUAGAUUUCAGACUUCUGGGGUGCCUGGGUGGCUUAGUCGGUUAAGAGUCCGGCUUCAACCCAGGUCGUGAUCUCAUGGUUCGUGAGUUCUAGCCCCAUAUCGCCUCAGGCUCUCUGCUAUCAACGCAGAGCCAGCUCUGGAUCUUCUUUCCCCUUCUCUCUCUCUGCCCCUUCCCUGCUCACGUGUUCUCUCUCUCUCUC